rnacentral:rRNA from 1 species
AUUGAACGCUGGCGGCAGGCCUAACACAUGCAAGUCGAGCGGAUGAAGGGAGCUUGCUCCUGGAUUCAGCGGCGGACGGGUGAGUAAUGCCUAGGAAUCUGCCUGGUAGUGGGGGAUAACGUCCGGAAACGGGCGCUAAUACCGCAUACGUUCUGAGGGAGAAAGUGGGGGAUCUUCGGACCUCACGCUAUCAGAUGAGCCUAGGUCGGAUUAGCUAGGUGGUGGGGUAAAGGCCUACCAAGGCGACGAUCCGUAACUGGUCUGAGAGGAUGAUCAGUCACACUGGAACUGAGACACGGUCCAGACCCCUGCGGGAGGCAGCAGUGGGGAAUAUUUGACGAGGGGGGAGAGCCUGAUCCAGCCAUGCCGCGGGUGUGAAGAAGGUCUUCGGAUUGUAAAGCACUUUAAGUUGGGAGAAAGGGCAGUAAGUUAAUACCUUGCUGUUUUGACGUUACCAACAGAAUAAGCACCGGCUAACUUCGUG